GGGCGUAUAACACUACAACAUAUAGACUUUUUACCGCUACUCGCCAAAACUGGGGUGUUACAGUGUUUUGCAAGAAAUAUUGGUUACUAUAAUGAAUAUAAAGUUGAGUUUUGGGGUGAGCUAGAUGGGUUAGAUCAAGCUUGGAAACUAGGGGGUCGACAGAUAAUCCUUGAGUUAGAUUGUUUAGUGGCUAUUUAAAAAAUCAAGAGUUCUAUUUUGGGAAUGAAAUCAAUUCUAUAACUAGAGCUA
rnacentral:lncRNA from 1 species